CUCCAUUUUUCAUCUCUUCCAUACUCAAACCCUAGCCGCUCCGCCUCUCUCUCUCAUCUCCCUUCGUUUGAUCUACCUACAACUCAAAACCUCGACAAAACACACUUCGACUUCUGCAAAAGGCAGACAGUUUUCUCUCUCUGAGAAUUAAAAAAUAUGAGCUCGCUGAACUCUCUGAGAAACCAUGCCCUCCAUUCAUGCCGAAAAAUAAUCUACUGGCUGUCACUUUCAGUAAUCUCUUUUCCUGUCGCCAAAGUCUAUAAGUUGAGCACCGUGGGUGAGCGUUUUCUUUCACCCACCUAAAAAAGGCGCUCGCUUUUUCUGUUCGUUUCUUGGGAAAAUUCUACACAUUCUGUUUUUCUCAACCCGCCAGCUGAAUUCCGGCCCCCCGAAACAAAUUCCAGGUAUAUUCCUUCGCCACUUCUCCCACUUUCGGUUUCGAUUUAAUGGCCAUUGUGAAUUUCAGUUAAUCCCCGAGUUUUUCCGCUGUCGAACAUGGCGUGGGCGCAGUUUCAGAACGACGAGCUGGAGUACGUCGUCGACGUCUACUUCGACUUCGCCGACUUCGAAGACACCGACACUUUUGCCGGUACCUAGCUCCCGGGAGCCCACGGCGCCGACUCGGACUUCGCUGAGAGCAAGGCGAAGACUGAUACUUCGGCAACUGCGUUUCCACAGUGACUGAGAGUUCUUCAGCCAUGUCUCUGUUACAAGGCAAAUGGAUCAAGAAAAAAAAUGUUCAAAAGUGUUGGUGGUGUAUAUAUGGUGCAGGCUAUCAAAUUUCUUCUCCUCCUCACAUUGUAGCUCGCCAAGAAGAGGUACGUGAUGCUCUUCGUGUUGAAAUCAAUUCCUAUUUUUCUUCUCUACAUAUUUACUUAUAAAUCUAGUGAAUGUGACUGUAAUUUCUCAUAUUAUUAGUUUAUGUUCUUCGCAUAUUUACUUUAUGAAUUUUUCUUCUUCGUUCUACAUAAUUCCAAAGGUUUCACGUUCGUAAUCGAUCACUUCGCUCACUGACGUUUUCUCAGAUUUUAAUUUGAUCUCAUGUUAAUUGUUUGAAAUAUAGAUGGCUUCAGCCCAACCCGUAUUCCAACCUCAACCCCAACCUUCAUGCCAACCCCAAUUCCAACUUCGUCGUGCCUCGAUAGCCUUAAAUCUGUCGACACAUGUCAUGGAAAAUUGAAGGAAGUAAAGUAAGCCGAAGGAUUGGACAGUUUGGAGACCAUACAAAUUAACCAAGCUCUAACAGGAUUCAAGUCCGGACGAUCAGGCCUCCUUUGUCUCUUGAAGAGAAAAGCAAGAGACAAAGCUUCUGACGAACUGAAGAGUAGGGGAGGAAGAUAAGGACCUUCCUUGUCUCUUGACGUUGUGUCCUCGAUAUCUUCAUCCCCUACUCUUCAGUUUGUCAGAAGCCUUUCUCCUCAAGAGACAAAGGAGGCCUGAUCGUCCGGACUCGAAUCCUGUUAGAGCUUGGCUAAUUUGUAUGAUCUCCAGAUUGUCCAAUCCUCCGGCCUCCUUUACUUCCGUCAAUUUACCGUGACAGGCAUCGACAGAUUUGAGACUAUCAAGGACACAGUGAAGUUAGAAUUGGGGUUGGGAUGAAGGUUGGGGUUGAGGUUUGACUACAGGUUGGGCUAAAGCCAUCUAUAUUUCAAUCAAACAAUUAACAUCAAAUCAAUUAAAAUCUGAGAAAACGUCAGUGACUGAAGUGAUCGAUUACAAAUGAGAAACCUAUAGAAUUAUAUAGAACGAAGAAGAAAAAUUCAUAAAGUAAAUAUGCGAAUAACAAAAACUAAUACUCUGAGAAAUUACAGUCACACUCACUAGAUUUAUAAGUAAAUAUGCAGAGAAUUAAAAUAGGAAUUGAUAAAAACUAGGUGGGUUUAUUUUGCACCAAAGAUGUAGGGACAUCCUAGCAACACCAAGAUAAAGACUAGUAAAUUUUUGUUUUACCUUUGACACUUGUUAAGAAAGUUUUCGUAUGUAUACUUGCACAUAACUAUUUUAUGUAAAUCUCAAAGGCUCGGCAUUGCCAACUCUUUUAUUACAUAAAACAUGGGAGAGCAAUUUGGUAAAUGUAAAUUUUAGGAGAAUCGUAUUUAUGUCCUAUUGUUGUGCAUGCUCUGUACAUAUUGGGUUUAACCUAUUUCAGUUAUAAGAUAAAGAAAAUGAGUCAUUUUUUAUAAUUUCCUAAAAUCUGUCUCAGUACACGUUACAUACUUUCUUAUAUUCUGUAUUUUUUCUAGAGAUGGUGGAGGCGGUGGUCCAUGUCCUUAACCCACAGCAGCAGCACAACACCCAGCAGAACGUCUCUGCCGGAACGACCUCCGCAGCUGCCGCCGAAAAUCCGCGACCCGUGAAAUGAUGUUAUUUGGACAGGGCAUUGGUGCUUAUUGGGAUCAUUACUGUUAUGCUGGACAUAUGGAAUGAAGAUUUUGUUUUCUCAGGAAUUGCUCGUCUGAAGCCCGGAAUGGUGAACUUCUACAAGGAAGGAAAUUUCUCGCAAUGGUGUGUUUUCGUGGACACCUAGUCACUAACACUGGCAGAUUAAGGUCACUGAAUUCAACAACUUACAUUUCAAAGUAUGGAUGAUGAUAAAGUUUAUUCGGCAAUGGAUGACAAAGUUGUGAUCGAGCAUUUUGUAGUUAUCAUGACAAAGAUUAGAUGAUGAUAAUCUAGUGAACAGUUUGUGUUUGCUUCUCUUAUUUUGUUUUCACCCCAAGAUUCUGCCCAGAAAAGUUAAAGCAAAAUUUCCUUCAAUUCGACAUGGAAUUGUUGAAAGGUGAAUUUGUAUGAGGAAUUCGGAAUACAGAUUAACGUGUAAUAAGGUUGUUCGACAUGCUUUUAGGGCAUCUUCCUUCGCGUAGUCUCGCUUGAUUUAAGAGUCUUCGCAGAAGUUGAAAGUCUUGGAUCUGUUACAAAAGAUGAUCCUCCCUACAAUUGGAAUACAGCAUAAUACAUGUUCGUCACGCCACAUAUACAGAAAGCAAGGAAUCCAAACUAACGACGGACUCAUGUGGUGUGAUUGGCUGCAUUUACGGCGCUUUUGAAUCGCAAAAUGGAAAUGGAGUCCAAAAUGAGGCCACCGAACAGCCCUUAAAUCUAGUUGUGUUGUUAACAAAAUGGAUGAAAGAGAAGGCGGGACUGCAGCGUACCACGUAAACCUGUUGAUACAUACAAUGCAUGACUCCAUAUGUUUGAUACAUUCUUAUUACAAUCUUGUAUGUGCAAGAUAUAUUGUCAAAUCCCAUGCCGUACCAUGAAAACCUGUAGGGUUGAAGGGUGAGCGCGCGGUUCCUCCACGUCAAUGGGAGCAAUGGGAGCUGUAGAACUUCACCCCUAAAAGCAUCAAACAAGUAGCAUGAACUUGUUAAUCUGCUGGCGUUAAAGCCAAUCAAGUUGCAGAAAACAAACUAUACAUCAUGCCAACAGCCCCCGCAGAAAAUCUUCCAGUUAGGAAGCGCGUGUUUAAAUGCAAUAGCACCAGUGCCAGUAGGGUAUUUGAAUGGAAGCUUAUUUGCCGAUUGCGGGUUAGGAGCCGCAAACUCAGCAAGAAGAAUAAGUCGAGGUACUUGGACAGUGGCAGCACAAGAGGCAGCAGAAUUAAGCAAACGUCAAGUAUGCAGUUGAGCAAAGAAUGGGGAAUCGAUGAAAUUUAAGGUGGUCUUGAAACACACCGGAACUGACAGAAUGAUUCGAUUGCCGGAUGCAACCUCAUAAUGAUGUCGACGAGGAUACUCAUAGACACCUGUUAUAUAUGCCUGGGGUGGUUUAUCACGUUAUAAUUGCUUUGGCAAUUUCUGAAGCUGCAACUUCGAGUACUUGGCACACAUGUGGAGAAAAGAUUCGAGGCCUGGCCAUAUUUGUGACAAAAAUCUCCAAAAAGAGGCUCAUUGCUAACCACUACUUUUUAUGUGCGUGCUCCCCCUCCAUCUUGAUCAUCUUAAAAGGUGCAAAAAUGUGGUCCAUUUGAUAUUUACUAUACACAAUACACUUCAUUUUCAAUGACAUUUU